AACGAACGCUGGCGGCAGGCUUAACACAUGCAAGUCGAACGGUUGUAGCAAUACAGCAGUGGCAGACGGGUGAGUAAUGCGUCGGAACGUACCGAGUAAUGGGGGAUAACGCACCGAAAGGUGUGCUAAUACCGCAUACGCCCUGAGGGGGAAAGUGGGGGAUCGCAAGACCUCACGUUAUUCGAGCGGCCGACGUCUGAUUAGCUAGUUGGUGGGGUAAUGGCUCACCAAGGCGACGAUCAGUAGCGGGUCUGAGAGGAUGAUCCGCCACACUGGGACUGAGACACGGCCCAGACUCCUACGGGAGGCUG
rnacentral:rRNA from 1 species